rnacentral:tRNA from 1 species
GGGGAUAUAGCUCAGUUGGUAAAGUGCUUGCCUUGCAUGCAUAAGACCCAGGGUUCAAAUCCUGGCACCCCUC